rnacentral:rRNA from 1 species
UACGGAGGGGGCUAGCGUUGUUCGGAAUUACUGGGCGUAAAGCGCACGUAGGCGGUUUAUUAAGUCAGAUGUGAAAUCCCAGGGCUUAACCCUGGAACUGCAUUUGAAACUAAUAAACUUGAGUUAGGUAGAGGAGAGUGGAAUUCCCAGUGUAGAGGUGAAAUUCGUAGAUAUUGGGAGGAACAUCGGAGGCGAAGGCGGCUCUCUGGACCUAAACUGACGCUAAGGUGCGAAAGCGUGGGUAGCAAACAGG